ACGGGUGCGGAACACGUACACAACCUUCCUUUUAGUGGGGGAUAGCCCAGAGAAAUUUGGAUUAAUACCCCGUAACAUGAUGAUGAGGCAUCUUAUUAUUAUUAUAGUGGCAACACGCUAGAAGACGGGUGUGCGUAUGAUUAGGUAGUUGGCGGGGUAACGGCCCACCAAGCCUUCGAUCAUUAACUGGUGUGAGAGCACGACCAGUCACACGGGCACUGAGACACGGGCCCGACUCCUACGGGAGGCAGCAGUAAGGAAUAUUGGUCAAUGGAGGAAACUCUGAACCAGCCAUGCCGCGUGGAGGAUGAAGGUCCUCUGGAUUGUAAACUUCUUUUAUAUGGGACGAAAAAGGGACUUUCUAGUUCAACUGACGGUACCAUAUGAAUAAGCACCGGCUAACUCCGUGCCAGCAGCCGCGGUAAUACGGAGGGUGCAAGCGUUAUCCGGAUUCACUGGGUUUAAAGGGAGCGUAGGUGGGUUAGUAAGUCCGUGGUGAAAUCUCUGAGCUUAACUCGGAAACUGCCAUGGAUACUAUUAGUCUUGAAUAUUGUGGAGGUUAGCGGAAUAUGUCAUGUAGCGGU
rnacentral:rRNA from 1 species